rnacentral:lncRNA from 1 species
UUAAACAGGGUCAGUAAGUACAUCCUAUUCCUGUUAAGGGGGCGACAGUUGCUAAAUAAAAAAAUGGCGCCAUUCUCGCUAAAGAAAAUUUUAAUAGUCUCACCACUGUGAAUACCUGCGGCGAAGGCACGUCACACACCAAUAGGUAUUCAUCAUUAUUUCAUCGACAAGUUAUUUAUUCCUAUUUAUAUAAUUACACUGCUUCUGAAACUAAGUUCAACAUGCUUUCUUUUAAAUUAUAUUAUUAAAUUUUUUUAUGCUACUCCUAAAUUUGUCGGAGUCGAAUUAAGAUAACUCAAAUAAGAUAAAAAUAUUAUGCAAUGUUGAGAUCGAAUAAUAUGGGUGGUAGUGCUUGAUUCCUGAAAACAGAGUUUUAUCACACAAUUCAAACUGGUAUAGAACAAAAAGAAUCAGGACUGGUGUUAUAUUUGAUCUAAAUGUGAAAUACAUACCGGGCGGGAGAGAUGGAAAAGAAGCUUUUUCAAAGAGUAAUUUUUAUUUUUUUAAUUCCUUUUUUACCAAUUAUGCAAUUAAUAGAGGAGACAAGUGGUAUCUGAAUGGAAGGGGCUGUAGGAGUGGCAUGGUGUUUAUGUUACUGUUCUAUUUCAAUUAUUACUUGAAGGAAAAGUAGAAGGAAAAAGAAAGAGACGCUUAAGAAGUAUGGGAGAGGUUAUUAGUCAGGACAUGACCCAGGUGGAGUUGACUGAGGACACUGUCCUAAACAUGAGUGUGUGGAGGUCAAAAAUUAGGGUAGAAGGUUCGUAAGUAGUCGAGCGUUUUUCUUUUGUCUUGCUCAGUUAGCUAGUAUUAGUGUUAGUAAGAUAUCUUUUAUUUGUAGAUGACUAUUACUACUUGCAUUCUUGGACUCGAUUUAUUUCAUCUUGAUGCUAUUCCUAUUUGUUGCAAUUACCUUUUCUUUUUCAGUUGUUCUCUAGUCUUUUUUUUUUUGGUAAUUAAGACAUGCGUUAAAAAAACAUACUAAGAGUCAUUACAUAGUUCAUUACAAACGGAAAUUGUUCUAGGACACAAAGUUCCUAGCUUGUCCCUUUCUAGAAUAGAGUUAACAAAAGUAGGAGGACUGUAUUGGGCAAAUUUGGUUCCCUAUAUUCUUAGGUUAUCUAUGCACGCCUUUGACGUAGAGAACUGCCUAAUUGAGGCCGACUCGAAUAAGGUCGGCCCCAGUAAGCGGACGGAUCAAGCGCCAUGACUCAAGACGACGUCGCCUAAAGUUAUGACUUUUCCGUACACUGAGACCACCAACCCUUGUAUUUUUCUUUGAUUAUUUUGAGGAAGAUCCCUUAAUAUAUAAAGGGGACCUUCCCUUUAUAAAGUAAUCAUGUGUAUCUUAUUAUUACGAAUAUACAACUCUCUCUCUCUCUAUCUCUCUCUUUCUUGUGAAAAGAACAUUACUUACUUUGUUAUUCUUACAUCUUAAGCUACCUUCACUAUUAUCAUAGAUCUUAACAAAACGGUUUUCUCUAGUUCAUAUUACCCUUGAUUCCGAUUAACGCAUAUUAUUUUUGAUUGUUCUUGAGCUUAACAAGUACUUAACUUUUUAGCCAAAUAAUUUGGCGCCGUCUGUGGGAAUUUCGUGAAUCAAAGUUGUAAUUUGCUUCUAGAGAUCCUUCAAAAACCACCUUCUACAACCUAGAAUGGACGAAAACAACGCAAGAAUGAAAGCUAUCAUGGAUGCUAGAGCCGAUCUUAUGGGCCCUUUCAACUUCUACAACCUAGAAUGGUUGAAAACCAUGCAAGAAUGAAAGCUAUCAUGGAUGCUAGAGCCAAUCUUAUGAGCCCUUUCAACACGGCUACUGAAGGGGAUGCUCCAUACGCAACCCCUAGUACCCUGAUAAGCGUGGAAAACCUACCUUCCUCUUCUGAAGAUCUGGUGGUUCCACAGGAAAAAGAGGCCUCUACCAAAGAAGCACCCCCAUAAGUAAAGAGGUUAUUGGAAUAAUGGUUGACAAGUGCUUUGAGUAACUUAGCCGGAAAGCCGCCCCAAAAUGCUAGAUGCACACCAACACCAGUGACGGACCAUGCCAUAGACGAAGAUGAACUCGAGGUCACACGAACAAACAACGUGCCCGCCGAUGCUCCAGCCCAUGGGGGGACGCUCACAACCAUCCUCAAAAAGAUGGAAGAAAUGAAAAACGAAAAUAGGUCGCUUUGCGACCAGAUGAAGGAGCACCAAGAAAGAGUGGACAAGAUCCCGGGUGCACCUAAGUUGCUGCUAAAGAGAGACGUGGGGAGGUUCGUUAAACAACCCUACACAGAAGGAGCUGCACCUUACCCCAUCCCAAAGACCUUCAAAAUGCCCCCCUAUUUGAAGGUAUAUAGGGACAUCAAAUCCCGAGGACCACCUAAUUCACUAUGUUACGGCGGUCAAAGGUAAUGAUUUAUCAAAGGAACAGGUAUCAUCUGUACAUCUGAAGAAGUUCGGCGAAACACUAACAGGAGGGGCCCUAACAUGGUACUCCCAGUUACCGGCCAAAAAGCAUCUCCACGUUCGAGGAAAUGGCAGAUAAAUUUGUCACCGCCCACGCAUGAGCCAAAAAAGCUGAAGCACGGGUUAACGACAUCUUUGCUGUCCGACAGGUCUCAGGAGAAGGGCUCAGAGAGUUCUUAGCCAGGUUCAACAGGGUCUGGAUGAGCCUACCAAACGUGUCUAAAAGCAUGGCAAGCACAUCUUUUCAGAAUGGACUCAGCAUGGACGACUCACGGGCGACUAGAAAACUGCUUAGCCGUCUUAUGAAAUAUCCAGGUCAGGAUGAGCCUACCAUACGUGUCCGAAGGCAUGGCAGUCACAGCUUUUCAGAACGGACUCAGCAGGGACGGCUCACGGGCGACCAGAAAAUUGCUUAGCCAUCUUAUAAAAUAUCCCCCUACAACCUGGGAAGAAAUCCACAACGCCUACUGCGCCGAGUACGAGGAGACGACGACGACGAACUUAAUGCCCGACCAGGCGUCUAAUAACGGUAAAGACCAACGCAAUGAGGGAUGACGGGAACAAGUCCCACGCCUCAACAGGGAGAGACAUCAACCCUACGCCAGAUCUUUGCAACCACCAAGGCACGCGGACGCCAUAAAACGACAUGUCGCCCCACUAAGGAACGAUAAAGGUAUGCCUCCUUCAUUAUCUGCACAUAACAUUUUUGUGUCUCCUUCAGAAGUAGUGUACGCACUGGAGAAGCUGGGCAACAAAGUACAAUGGCCAGCAAAGAUGAAGUCCGACCCCGCCACCAGAAAAUCAAACGCCCUAUGUGAGUUCCACCAAGUCUACAACGAUGCUUUCUCCCAUUUCAAUGUGCGCUGCCCUUCUUCUACUUCGAUGAAUUGAAGUCUCGAGAAUUCUUUGGUAUUUUUAGAAUCAAGUUAUUGGUGGUGGUAAACCCAAAAUGUUAUGGUCAUUCUCUAUCUCUUUGUUUAAUUGUUCUGAUUAUACGAUGUAUGUAGUGGGUUUUAGUUAUAUAUCAAAAAACUAGAACAUCUUGAUAGUGGGAUUCCCCAGUUAUAAAGACAAAAACUUCCGCUUUAGAGCUGAAGUUUCCAGUACAAUACAAAAAUUUCAGAUCCUAAUUACAACAUAAAAACUUCAGCUAUAGAGCUGAACUUGAUGCCCAGCUACUAGAAUGCUGAAGUUUUGCAUGAUUGUCUUUGCUACUUCAGCCCCGUGUACUGCCGUCGAAUUUUACAUGGCUAAGGCCAUCAUUUUUACACGGCUACGACCAUUGUUUUAACACGGCUAAGGCCGUCGAAUUUUACACGCCUAAGGCCAUCAUUUUUACAUGGCUACGGUCAUUGUUUUAACACGGGUAAGGCCAUCGAAUUUUACAUGGAUAAAACCAUCAUUUUUUACAUGGCUAUGGCCAUUGUUUUAACACGGCUAAGGCCGUCGAAUUUUACAUGGCUAAGGCCAUGAUUUUUACAUGGCUAAGGCCAAUUUUUUAACACGGCUAAGGCCGUCGAUUUUACAUGGCUAAGUCCAUCAUUUUUACAUGGCCAAGGCCAUCAUUUUUACACGGCUAUUGCCAUUGUUUUAACACGGCUAAAGCCGUCGGGUUCUACACAGCUAUGGCCGUCAAACUUUACUUGGCUACGGCCAUCAUUUUCACAUGUUCAGGGCCACAGAAUGGCCCACUUAGCUUCAACUACGGCAAAAGAAAAAAAAUAUAUAUAAUGUUCCAGAAAACAGAAAAGAUUUAACUAAAAGUCGUAUAUCUUUAUCCUCAAAAAGGUCAACACCCACGAUACCAAAAUCAGUAUUUACAAACAUAUUUACAAAGGUCCGAAAGUCCUCCACCCCCUGAUUAUCCUGCCUCGCCUGGCCUUCAUGCGGCCCAUCUUCGUUCCCAGGAGGAUAUGCCUAGGAAGUCCAAGAGCUGGACUCCAAACGGUUGACAUGUGCAGAGUUACCCUCCUCCCGGGGUGGCGAUUCAGGACUAUAGCCGGCUGCUUCACGGGCAGCUCUAACCAUCUGGCGUUGGCACUCAACUUCCACCUCAAAUGCUCGCCCAGCCGCCAAAAAUUCUUCAAGCACGACCAGCCGGGCCUCCACGUACACCCACAUCUCUUGUGCCUCACGAGACGCAUCAGCCUGUGAAAGGGCCCGCUUGAGGUCCUCAACCUCGGCCUUUUUGGCAUCAAGUUCCGCCGUUAAGGUCGCAACCCGAGUGCGCAAUUUAGCCGCCUACUCCGCCACUGGAAAUGGCAGAUGAAACUCUUCGUCCUUAGCUUGAAUAAGGACCUCCAUCUCCGCAGUUCGAGCAACAACGGCCAUGAGUUGUUCGUCGACUUUCUCUAGCUCGGCCACCCUUUUCUUCAGUUGCUCCUCGGGCUGCACGAGGCCCUCACGAACCACCCUAAAGUUAGGGUCCUGUUUGUGCAUAUCGGCCAAGGUCUAGUGCGCCUAACGUGUUCUGUUAUAUUUCUUCACCAACCUAUUGUAUUUGGCCACCUUCUUCUUCAGGCGUCAACCCCUCUUCGCCUCCAAGAUAAGAGUCUAAAAAAACGAAAGGUGAGUACAAGGAAAAUCGCCCUCCACUAAUGCAAAAGAAAAAUCAUCAAUCAAGGCAAAAGACAUACCUGCAAGGCAACGCCCGCCACUCUUCGGGCCAAGCCCUUGUCACCGAGAUUCGCCAGGGCCACGCUCUCAGCGCCCGCACAUAGGAGUGUCAUGCUAGUGGCUGCCUCCUCACAGUUUCAGGCCAAGCCCUUGUCACUGAGCUCCGUCAGGGCCGGGCUCUCGGCGCCCGCACAUAGGAGUGUCAUGCUAGUGGCUGCCUCAUCGCAGUUCUCCAACAAAUUAUAGUGACUAGGAAUCACUAUGCGACGGGAGGACCGGCCAACCAACAUCUCCACUUUGUCCAUGGACUCGCCUUUUCUAUCCGCGUCCUCCAUGGCGGUCUCCAGACCCGCCACGUUCAAACUUUCAUCCCUUCUUUCCGCAGCUUCUCUCCUCAGAGCAGAGCUUCUUGAACGAAUGGCCUCGGCCAUAAAAACCGGCCUAGAUUCAGGACAGGGUGGUUUAACCUUCUCCGCCCGAGUAAUGCCUUCUCUGCUUGCGUCCUCCAUAGCGAUCUCCGGGUCUACCACGUCCACACUUUUGCCCCUUCUCUCCGCGGCUUCCCUCCUCAGAGAAGACCUCCCCGAGCGAAUGGCCUCGGCCAUAAAACCGGCCUAGAUUCAGGACGGGGUGGCUUAACCUUCCGCGUCUGAGUAACCACAACCUUGCCGGUUAGAAUCUGACGUCUCCUCCUUUCCAAUGUCUCUUCCUUUUCAAGGUCCCCCAUAGUGGGACGCAAGACGGGCUCCGAAGGGGAUGGUUCGACAGUGGACGCUUUUGUGGGGGCAACCCCGGGGACGGUCCCAAGCACAACCGCUGGUAUGCCAUGACGCGUUGUUUCAAGUAUGGACCCUGGCACUGCCUCAUACACUAACUCCGAAGCCGCCUCUGAUGCGAUCUCCUGCCUUGAGGGGGGGGGGGGGGGAAAAANNNNNNNNNNGGGGGGGGGGGGGAAUAAACACUACCCCUGGACGUACCUACGAGGAUCAUAUCUUCCUCACCAAGGUUUGAUGCCGCCAUAGAAGGGACGACCACAUCUCUAUUCUUAUUCUUCUUCUUCCGCGACUUCUUAGAGGCGCCUCAACCUACCAAAAUAUGUAUGAGAUAGGCAAGAAAAUUAUGGAGAACCCCCAGGUCAGAAUGGAAAGGAAAAAUCAAGCAAGGCCAUUAUCUGACAGGCCAUAGAGGCGGAGGAAUUCCAUCCAGGCACAGCAUUCCUCCGCAAACGGUAUCAAUGCUCGCACCCACGAUCUAAUGUCAUCAAUCCUUUGAGGAGGGCGAGUUGUCACUGCAUAAAGGCAAAAGGAAAUCUAUAAUGGUGAAAACCAGCAAAAUAAGAUUGCUGUAGUAAAAACUACAUACAGGAAUGCUUACAUGCUUUGUUCCACGCCUCCGGAAACCCUUCAGGGUUAGACACCAGGUGCUCAGUACGCAUAUAGAAAAAUCUCUUCCAAAAUUUGCGACUAGCCUUGUCGUCCGCUAGCGACACAAAACUCUUCUUGCCCCGACGUACUAACUGGAGCAUUGAGCCUCUCAUAAAGCUCACGCCGAACAUUUGCAAGAUGUGAUGAAUGGUGACCUCCUUCUCAGCCUUAGCUUCGUAGGUGGUAAGAAUUCUACACACCUUCAGCGCAUAUGGGGUAAGUUGGGCCGGACACGCCCUGAACAAACGAUAAAGUUCCUCCGCGUAGGUGGUAAGAAUCCUACACACCAUCAACGCAUACAAAGUAAGCUGGGCCGGACAUGCCCCGUACAAGCGACAAAGCUCCUUCGCCAAAGGAUAAAGCGGGAGGCUAUACCUGAUUAGAAAAGCAUACUCGUAGAAUGUGCAAUACCCGGGCCUAUGCAUGUUGGCAUAGUCCGUCCCGGCGGGAGCCAUCUAGAUGUAGUCAGGGAUAUUAUGCGACUCCCUGAGAGUAUCCAAAUGAGUUGGCGUCAGUUCACUGAGUUCCCGAUGGGGAAGUUUACACUGGUUCUUAAAAUCUUUCCGUGCAACCAUAUCCAGUGGAAGAAUAUUGGCCAUUGAUAAGGGAACGAGAACCUCCUCAGCUUCCCCAUCUUCUGAGGAUAACGAAGACCUAGAAAGGGCGUCACCCUUGGUCCUGGUACUAUCGUGACGAUGCUUAGCCAUGAUAGAAGUUAUGAGAGAAAGGCGUUUUAAGGAUACAAGGUUUGAUUCCCAGGAAUGAAUACUUUAAAAGAAAAGAUCAACGGGUGCCAGAGAAAGAUGAGGACGGGAAUGGCAUAACCCCUCCACAUAUGAUCACGCCCCCCUUUCCACAGUACCAACGAGAACAACCAAAUUUAUAGAAAGGACGAGCACGCAUAUCCGUUCGUUGGAGACAUCUCUCGGCUACGUCCCCAACAAACGGAGGGACUAUCUGUAUUUGGAAUAUUUGGUUCCCUAUGUUCUUAGGUUAUUUAUGCACGCCUUUGAUGUAGAGAACAACCUAAUUGAGGCCGACUCGAAUAAGGUCGGCCCCAGUAAGCGGACGGACCAAGCGGCAUGACUCAAGACGACGUCGCUUAAAGUUCUGACUUUCCUGUACACUGAGACCACCAACCCUUGUAAUUUUCUUUGAUUAUUUCGAGGAAGGUCCCUUAAUAUAUAAAGGGGACCUUCCCUUUGUAAAUGACUCAUGUGUAUCUUAUUAUUAAGAAUAACUUUUCCGCACACUGAGACCACCAACCCAUGUAUUUUUCUUUGAUUAUUUCGAGGAAGGUCCCUUAAUAUAUAAAGGGGACUUUCCCUUUGUAAAGGACUCAGAUGUAUCUUAUUAUCAAGAAUAUACAACUCUCUCUCUAUCAGUCUCUCUAUCUCUCUCUUUCUUGUGAAAAGAUCAUUACUUACUUCGUUAUUCUUACAUCUUAAGCUACCUUUACUAUUAUCAUAGAUCUUAACAAAACGCUUUUCUCUAGUUCAUAUUAUCCUUGAUUCCGAUUAACCCAUAUUAUUUUUGAUUGUUCUUGAGCUUAACAAGUGCUUAACUUUUUAGCCAAACAAGGACUAAGAUAAGUUGUUAAGCUUCCAAAAGUUGUUGAGUUGCUUCCAUUCUUCGCCAUUGAAUCAGCCGCCUGGUUUGCCUCUCUGAAGUCGUGCUGUAAUGGCGGAUCACCUGCUCUACUCAUAGGCAUAUGUAAAGAGCAUGUGAGUAGGGGCUACGGCUGCAUACAUCUUACUCCGGACCCCAUUCGUGUUUUUUUUUUGUUAUUGUUGUUGUUGGACUGUUCUAUUUGGUAGUGCAAGAUUAGUCGGUAUUCUGCUUAUGGUAUAAAAGAAGCUUAGAAUCAAGACAUAUAGAAGCGUGUCUCCUGAUUUGUUAAUACCAAUUUUAAGAGGUUUCCUUUUCCUUUUCCUUGUAAAAUUUGAUAGAAACGUUAGUUUCACCUGUAAUAAGUUAGUUUCUGUUAUUUUGCAGCAAAGCAAUUCCUUCUCUUUAGGCUCAAAGAAGAGCUGAAGUUUUUCUCCUCACUGUUCUGCUAAAUAUUACAGACUGCAAAUUGUUUGGUCAGUGGAUACGAUAAUACUUCUGGGGAGGUAAAUUGAGCAUAUUAUAUUCCUCUACAUUAACGUAUGCUUUUGUACAGUUUGGGGUGAAAGUUGUGCUUUACUUUGACAAGUGAGAAUUUGCAAUACUUUUAUAUUUAUGUUGAGCUACUGAAAUACUAGAAAAGAAGGCAUUUGGUUAAUUAUCAGUCAGCAGGUUCUUGUGUACUUUGAGUUGCUUAAAUAAGGCGAUAUCGUCAGAAACUUGAUACAUAGAUAGUAUCGGUAACAUUUCUAAUACAUCCCCAAUUUACAACUUGUGAGAAUUGCACUUUGAAAAUUAUUGAAUGAAAACGACUUUAUGGUUUUUGGGAUGAAGGACAAGUCUAAUGUUAGCUACAGAAAGUAAAUAGAUGACGAAAGAUUCCAAGACUAUUCCCCCUUUUAGGACUUGUAUUGAUUGAAAAUGCCAGAUAUCAAUAACCUCAUGGUGAUACUACCUGCUGGAUUGUCCAUAAUUAUAAUUUAAAAGAGCUCACUGUGUAAUUGUGUACUCUUAUCCGAAACCUCAGAUGAAGAAAGAUGCCAUCGUAACAUAAGUCCAUGUACUUUGAUGAUAAAGAGAUAUCAGGAUUUUAAUUUCUGAGGCAUGGUUUCAUGUUAUAAUUGCAAAUGGUGUUGGUUAUUUAAACCCUCACUUUCACCUUCUGAUUCCUCGUUGCUUGAAUAUGCACCAAAACUUACAUCUUUGGACUUUACGCUGCUUUGUUGCCUUAAACUGAAAGGAAUACUGUCAUUGAAUGAAUCCUUCUUUUGAGAGUCUUUUUUGGCAUCUCUUAAAACCUUGCUUUUCCGUCUUGAACUUGAGCUGAUUUUUCGAGAGGAGGAUUUUAACUUGCUUUUGCGCCUUGAUUUGGAACCCAAUUUUCCAGAUUUUGUUGUCAUCCCUUGGUGUUUAUACGUGCUGUCGUCUUUCUCAUUCUCUGAAGAUCCUGAUGUACUUCCAUAUCCAUAAUCAGAACUUGCUCUAUCAUCCUCAUCAGUCUCAGCAGAAACUUUUUGAUGAUCUUUAUUAUAAUUAUCAUUUUCAUCAUUUUGUUCACUGCUUCGAUCCUCAUUAUCUGAACUCUUUGGCUCGUAAUCAUCUGAAAUCUCUGUAUCUGAACUGACUUUCUCAGGUGGCAAAGAUUCAGGAAUCGGUUCAUCUGGUGGAGCCACUUCAAGGGAAGUAAUAGCAGCUACAACAUCACCGAUCAAGGGACGGACUG